UACAGAGGUCUCAAGCGUUGUUCGGAUUCAUUGGGCGUAAAGGGUGCGUAGGCGGCGCGGUAAGUCGGGUGUGAAAUCUCGGAGCUUAACUCCGAAACUGCAUUCGAUACUGUCGUGCUUGAGGACUGGAGAGGAGACUGGAAUUUACGGUGUAGCGGUGAAAUGCGUAGAUAUCGUAAGGAAGACCAGUGGCGAAGGCGGGUCUCUGGACAGUUCCUGACGCUGAGGCACGAAGGUCAGGGGAGCAAACGGG
rnacentral:rRNA from 1 species